UCUCUCUGUUCUCUCUUUCCUCCGUCAAUCUGUCUUCAACACAUCAUCAUCCACUAGACCUGUGUGCAUGAACACAUCCUCCCUCCCCCUCUUUUAUCCCUCCUCCUAUUCUGUGGUCUCUCUCUCUCUCUCGCGCUCUCUCUCGCUCUCUCUCACUCUCUCACUCUCUCUCUCUCUCUCUCUCUCUCUCUCUCUCUCUCACUCUCUCGCUCUCUCUCGCUCUCUCUCUCUCUCUCUCUCGCUCUCGCUCUCUCUCUCUCUCUCUCUCUCCAACACACUGUUCCACUUGCUUAUCUAGUGCUUUGUCUCUCUCACUCUUCUUCUCUUGGUCCUGAAAACCUGUCUUUUAUUUCCCUCUUCUCUCUGUUCUUCUACCCUUCCUCUUUGAAUAUCUAUUAUUACUGAGGACUAGACUGACCAAUGACUUUCAGGGAUCUGUUCUGCCUCUUUCUUCUGCUGUCCUGUGCGGCCGUACUACCAUGAGCACUUCUACUCCAUCCACAGCUAAUGGCAACGAUAGCAGACAGUUUAAAGGAGACCGUUCUCCCUGUGGUCCUUCCCGAGUGCUCCACGUCCGCAAGGUUCCCAUCGAGGUGUCUGAGGCUGAGCUCAUCUCUCUAGGAGUCCCAUUCGGUAGAGUCACCAACCUGUUGAUGCUGAAAGGGAAAAACCAGGCUUUUAUAGAAAUGGCUUCUGAAGAGGCAGCGAUCACCAUGGUGAACUACUACACCACAGCAACACCUCACGUCCGCAACCAGCCAGUCUACAUCCAGUACUCCAACCACCGCGAACUCAAGACAGACAACCUACCCAAUCAGGGGAGAGCUCAGGCAGCGUUGCAGGCGGUCAACGCAGUGCAUUCUGGGAACAUGGCGUUGGGCGGUUCAGCAUCGGGCAGUGAUGGAGCCUUGAUGCCAGGACAGAGCCCCGUGCUGCGCAUCAUUGUAGAAAACCUCUUCUACCCUGUAUCACUGGAGGUCCUGCACCAGAUCUUCUCUAAGUUCGGGACAGUCCUGAAGAUCAUCACAUUCACCAAGAACAACCAGUUCCAGGCCCUGCUACAAUAUGCUGACCCGAUGAAUGCCCACCACGCCAAAGUGACUUUGGAUGGCCAGAACAUCUAUAACGCGUGCUGCACUCUUCGCGUGGAGUUCUCCAAGCUGACCAGCCUGAAUGUGAAGUACAACAACGACAAGAGCCGAGACUUCACCCGUCUGGACCUUCCCUCCGGAGACGGACAGCCCACCAUGGACCCUGCUAUGACCGCUGCUUUCGGUAAUGUCACUCUUAGCCCGCCCUUUGACCUGUUCUCGUGUGUGCCCCCAGGUCUAUCCAUGCACACGAUGGCAGGAAUGGGACCCCUCGUCUCGGGACGGAUGACCCUGCACGGCAUGGCUCCCACCGCCGUUCACUCUGUUCUCCUUGUCUCCAACCUCAACCCCGAUAGCAUAUCACCACACGAACUGUUCAUCCUGUUUGGGGUGUAUGGUGAUGUGCAUCGGGUCAAGAUUCUGUUCAACAAGAAAGAGAACGCCUUAAUCCAGAUGGCCGACGCUACUCAGGCACAGCUUGCUAUGUCCCAUCUGAAUGGCCAGCGGCUGCACGGUAAGGUGAUCAGAGUGACCAUCUCUAAGCACCAGACGGUCCAGCUGCCCAGGGAGGGACAGGAAGACCAGGGCCUCACUAAAGACUUCAGCGGCUCCCCGCUACAAAAAAAAAAAAACACCAACAUCUUCCCUCCCUCUGCCACCCUCCAUCUCUCCAACAUCCCCCCGUCUAUAACAGAUGACAUCCUAAAGGACCUUUUCUCUGGAAAUGGAUACACAGUCAAGGCCUUCAAGUUCUUCCAGAAGGACCGUAAGAUGGCUCUGAUCCAGUUGGGUUCAGUGGAGGAGGCCAUCCAGGCCCUGAUCGACCUCCACAACCACGACCUGGGAGAGAACCAUCACCUCCGCGUGUCCUUCUCCAAGAGCACCAUCUGA
ensembl:lncRNA